AUUGAACGCUGGCGGCAUGCUUUACACAUGCAAGUCGAACGGUAACAGGCCGCAAGGUGCUGACGAGUGGCGAACGGGUGAGUAAUGCAUCGGAACGUGCCCAGUCGUGGGGGAUAACGCAGCGAAAGCUGCGCUAAUACCGCAUACGAUCUAUGGAUGAAAGCGGGGGACCGUAAGGCCUCGCGCGAUUGGAGGGGCCGAUGGCAGAUUAGGUAGGUGGUGGGGUAAAGGGUCACCAAGCCGACGAUCUGUAGCUGGUCUGAGAGGACGACCAGCCACACUGGGACUGAGACACGGCCCAGACUCCUACGGGAGGCAGCAGUGGGGAAUUUUGGACAAUGGGCGCAAGCCUGAUCCAGAAAUGCCGCGUGCAGGAAGAAGGCCUUCGGGUUGUAAACUGCUUUUGUACGGAACGAAACGACUCUGGUUAAUACCUGGGGCUAAUGACGGUACCGUAAGAAUAAGCACCGGCUAACUACGUGCCAGCAGCCGCCGUAACAC
rnacentral:rRNA from 1 species